GGAGGGAUGGCCGAGCGGCUUAAGGCGCACGCCUGGAAAGCGUGUUCACCGAAAGGUGUCGGGGGUUCGAAUCCCCCUCCCUCCGCCA
rnacentral:tRNA from 1 species